rnacentral:rRNA from 1 species
CGAAUAAGAAGGUCCGGCUAACUUCGUGCCAGCAGCCGCGGUAAUACGAAGGGACCUAGCGUAGUUCGGAAUUACUGGGCUUAAAGAGUUCGUAGGUGGUUAAAAAAGUUGGUGGUGAAAUCCCAGAGCUUAACUCUGGAACUGCCAUCAAAACUUUUUAGCUAGAGUAUGAUAGAGGAAAGCAGAAUUUCUAGUGUAGAGGUGAAAUUCGUAGAUAUUAGAAAGAAUACCAAUUGCGAAGGCAGCUUUCUGGAUCAUUACUGACACUGAGGAACGAAAGCAUGGGUAGCGAAGAGGAUUAGAUACCCUCGUAGUCCAUGCCGUAAACGAUGUGUGUUAGAUGUUGGAAAUUUAUUUUCAGUAUCGCAGCGAAAGCAAUAAACACACCGCCUGGGGAGUACGACCGCAAGGUUAAAACUCAAAUGAAUUGACGGGGACCCGCACAAGUAGUGGAGCAUGUGGUUUAAUUCGAAGAUACGCGCAGAACCUUACCAACACUUGACAUGUUCGUUUCGACUCUAAGAGAUUAGAGUUUUCGGUUCGGCCGGACGAAACACAGGUGCUGCAUGGCUGUCGUCAGCUCGUGUCGUGAGAUGUUGGGUUAAGUCCCGCAACGAGCGCAACCCUUACUUUUAGUUGCCACCAUUUAGUUGGGCACUCUGAAAGAACUGCCAGUGAUAAGCUGGAGGAAGGUGGGGAUGACGUCAAGUCCUCAUGGCCCUUAUGUGUUGGGCUACACACGUGCUACAAUGGCAUUUACAAUAGGAAGCAAGAUGGCGACAUUAAGCAAAUCCUAAAAAAAUGCCUCAGUUCGGAUUGUACUCUGCAACUCGAGUACAUGAAGCUGGAAUUACUAGUAAUCGCGGAUCAGCGCGCCGCGGUGAAUACGUUCCCGGGUCUUGUACACACCGCCCGUCACACCAUGGGAGUUGGUUCUACCUUAAGGCAAGGUUUAAUACCCUUGACCACGGUAUAGUCAGCGACUGGGGUGAAGUCGUAACAAGGUAGCCGUAGGGGAACCUGCGGCUG